GGGUGAAUUAGACGUUGGCUUUAUUACAACUUCAAAUGUUUUGAUUACAAAACAUAUUGUUAAAGGUGAAGUGUUUGCUUUCCCUAGAGGACUUGUACAUUUCCAACAGAACAAUGGGGAUGUUCCGGCAGCCGUCGUCGCGGGGUUCAACAGCCAGUUGCCUGGAACUCAAUCGAUUGCUACAACGUUGUUUGCUUCAUCACCAACUGUUCCUGAUCAUGUCUUGACUAAAACAUUCCAAGUUGGUACUAAGGAAAUUCAGAAAAUUAAGUCAAGGCUGGCACCC
rnacentral:misc_RNA from 1 species